rnacentral:rRNA from 1 species
CNGACCCGGGAGACCGGGUUCUUCAUUCGGCUGGACCGGAGACAGGUGCUGCAUGGCUGUCGUCAGCUCGUGUCGUGAGAUGUUGGGUUAAGUCCCGCAACGAGCGCAACCCUCGCCUUCAGUUGCCAGCAGGUAGGGCUGGGCACUCUGAAGGAACCGCCGGUGAUAAGCCGGAGGAAGGUGGGGAUGACGUCAAGUCCUCAUGGCCCUUACGGGCUGGGUUACACACGUGCUACAAUGGCGGUGACAGUGGGUUUGCGAUCCCGCGAGGGUUGAGCUAAUCCCCAAAAGCCGUCUCAGUUCGGAUUGCAGUCUGCAACUCGACUGCAUGAAGGUUGGAAUCCGCUAGUAAUCCGCNGAUCAGCAUGCCGCGGUGAAUCCGWU